rnacentral:rRNA from 1 species
CCUACGGGAGGCAGCAGUAGGGAAUCUUCCACAAUGGGCGAAAGCCUGAUGGAGCAACGCCGCGUGGGUGAAGAAGGUCUUCGGAUCGUAAAACCCUGUUGUUAGAGAAGAAAGUGCGUGAGAGUAACUGUUCACGUUUCGACGGUAUCUAACCAGAAAGCCACGGCUAACUACGUGCCAGCAGCCGCGGUAAUACGUAGGUGGCAAGCGUUAUCCGGAUUUUUUGGGCGUAAAGGGAACGCAGGCGGUCUUUUAAGUAUGAUGUGAAAGCCUUCGGCUUAACCGGAGUAGUGCAUUGGAAACUGGGAGACUUGAGUGCAGAAGAGGAGAGUGGAACUCCAGGUGUAGCGGUGAAAUGCGUAGAUAUAUGGAAGAACACCAGUGGCGAAAGCGGCUCUCUGGUCUGUAACGGACGCUGAGGUUCGAAAGCGUGGGUAGCAAACAGGAUUAGAUACCCCAGUAGUC